rnacentral:rRNA from 1 species
AUUGAACGCUAGCGGGAUGCUUUACACAUGCAAGUCGAACGAGUGGCGGACGGGUGAGUAAUAUAUCGGAAGUGCCCAGUAGCGGGGGAUAACUACUGGAAAGGGUGGCUAAUACCGCAUACUAUUGGAUGGCCGAGAUCGGAUUAGCUAGUAGGUGAGGUAAUGGCUCACCUAGGCGACGAUCCCUAGCUGGUCUGAGAGGAUGAUCAGCCACACUGGGACUGAGCCACGGCCCAGAGUCCUACGGAGGCAGCAGUGGGGAAUAUUGCACAAUGGGCGCAAGCCUGAUGCAGCCAUGCCGCGUGUAUGAAGAAGGCCCUAGGGUUGUAAAGUACUUUCAGUCGGGAGGCGUUACCGACAGAAGAAGCACCGGCUAACUCCGUGCCAGCAGCCGCGGUAAUUC